UACGUAGGGUGCAAGCGUUGUCCGGAAUUAUUGGGCGUAAAGAGCUCGUAGGCGGCCUGUCGCGUCGGCUGUGAAAACCCGGGCUCAACCCCGGGCCCUGCAGUCGAUACGGGCAGGCUAGAGUCCGGCAGGGGAGACUGGAAUUCCGGUGUAGCGGUGAAUGCGCAGAUAUCAGGAGGAACACCGGUGGCGAAGGCGGGUCUCUGGGCCGGAACUGACGCUGAGGAGCGAAAGCGUGGGGAGCGAACAGG
rnacentral:rRNA from 1 species